AUCUAGCUUGCUAGAUGCUGACGAGUGGCGCACGGGUGCGUAACGCGUAUACAAUCUACCUUUAACUGAGGGAUAGCCCAGAGAAAUUUGGAUUAAUACCUCAUAGUAUUAUAUUAAGGCAUCUUUUUAUAAUUGAAACUCCGGUGGUUAAAGAUGAGUAUGCGUCCUAUUAGCUUGUUGGUAAGGUAAAAGCUUACCAAGGCUACGAUAGGUAGGGGGCCUGAAAGGGUGAUCCCCCACACUGGUACUGAGACACGGACCAGACUCCUACGGGAGGCAGCAGUGAGGAAUAUUGCACAAUGGAGGAAACUCUGAUGCAGCCAUGCCGCGUGCAGGAUGAAUGCCCUAUGGGUUGUAAACUGCUUUUAUACAAGAAGAAACCUCGGUACGUGUACCGACUUGACGGUAUUGUAUGAAUAAGCACCGGCUAACUCCGUGCCAGCAGCCGCGGUAAUACGGAGGGUGCAAGCGUUAUCCGGAUUUAUUAGGUUUAAAGGGUCCGCAGGCGGAAUAUUAAGUCAGUGGUGAAAGCCUACAGCUCAACUGUAGAACUGCCAUUGAAACUGUUAUUCUCGAGUAUGGAUGAAGUGGGCGGAAUAUGUCAUGUAGCGGUGAAAUGCAUAGAUAUGACAUGGAACACCAAUUGCGAAGGCGGCUCACUAAACCAUUACUGACGCUCAUGGACGAAAGCGUGGGGAGCGAACAGGAUUAGGUACCCUGGUAGUCCACGCCGUAAACGAUGAUCACUAGAUGUUGGCGAUAUAAUGU
rnacentral:rRNA from 1 species